ACCAACAGUUAUCUGCACAGCAAUACUGGGCGUUUCUCUUCCAGUUGAGCUUUGUAGCUGACAGUACAGCUGUCUAUGAGUGAUCUUAUCCCCUCUGGGAGAAGGAGAGGAGAUGCAUUUCAGAUGCAGAAAAAAGCGUGUGACAAACUCCAACAUCCUUUCGUUAGAAAAGAACAAAGAAUAAAAGUGAAUCUCCUCGACCUGCAUAACUUCUCGUGGCCAGCGUGUUGACUUCAGAUCAGCCUCAUCUGAGACUACGCCGUUUUACACGUACACAAAUGCCCCGAGCUAUCG